rnacentral:lncRNA from 1 species
CUUUCCAACACUGAGUCUUUGGUUAGUCACUGUCUGUGUAGAGUUUGCACAUUCUCCUCAAGUCUGCACAGGUUUUCUCUGGGUGCUGUGGUUUCCUCCCACAUCCCAAAGAUGUGCCUGCUAGGUUAAUCGGCGUGUCUACACAUUCCCAGUGUGAGUGAGCAUGGUGAGCUACUGCACCCUGUGACAGGAUGGCAUCCUAGCCAGGGCUGGAUCCUGCCUGGUGCCCUGAGCUGCCUAGAUAGGCUCCAGCACCUGCAACCCUGAACUAGAAUAACUGGGUUAAUAAUUAUCUUACUUUCCCCUUCCUGUGUCCAAGUGUUCUCAUUGUUCAAUUCCCACCUACGAGUGAGAACAUGCGGUGUUUGGUUUUUUGUCCUUGUGAUAGUUUGCUGAGAAUGAUGGUUUCCAGCUUCAUCCAUGUCCCUACAAAGGACAUGAACUCAUCAUUUU